rnacentral:rRNA from 1 species
UUGCGUAGGUGGAUGAAUAAGUGAAUAGUGAAAGCCGAUGGCUCAACCAUUUGGACUAUUAUUCAAACUGUUCGUCUCGAGAGUAGCAGAGGUAACUGGAAUUUCUUGUGUAGGAGUGGAAUCCGUAGAUAUAAGAAGGAACACCAAUGGCGUAGGCAGGUUACUGGGCUAUUUCUGACACUAAGGCACGAAAGCGUGGGGAGCGAACG